rnacentral:rRNA from 1 species
AGGGCGGACGGUGGAUGCCUAGGCUUAGGGAGGCGAAGAAGGACGUGAUAAGCUGCGAAAAGCUGCGGGUAGGUGCAAAUAACCAUUGAUCCGCGGAUUUCCGAAUGGGACAACCCGGCACAGUGAAGCUGUGUCAUCUCAUAUUAAUAUGAGAGGCAAACGUGGGGAACUGAAACAUCUAAGUACCCACAGGAGAAGAAAACAAUAGUGAUUGCGCAAGUAGUGGCGAGCGAACGCGCAGUAGCCCAAACCUGAUUUGUAUUUAUGCAUUUCAGGGGUUAUAGGACUGCGACAUUUGUCAUUUGGAUUAAUUGGAAUUGUUCUGGAAAGUACAAUCAUAGAGGGUGAUAAUCCCGUACAAGUAAGUUUUAAUGAUGAUAGCAGUAUCCUGAGUAGCGCGGGACACGAGGAAUCCUGUGUGAAUUUGGCGGGACCAUCCGCUAAGGCUAAAUACUCCCCUAAGACCGAUAGUGAACUAGUACCGUGAGGGAAAGGUGAAAAGCACCUCGAACAGAGGAGUGAAAUAGUUCCUGAACCCGUUCGCUUACAAGCGGUCGGAGCCUGUAUAAUAUAUGGGUGACGGCGUGCCUUUUGCAUAAUGAACCUACGAGUUACUCAUUCUCUGGCAAGGUUAAGCACUUCAGGUGCGUUUUAGCCGAAGCUAACGCGAGUCUUAACAGGGCGUUGUAGUCAGAGUGAGUAGACGCGAAACCAAGUGAUCUACCCUUGGUCAGGUUGAAGGUUGGGUAACACCAACUGGAGGACCGAACCCAUGGAUGUUGAAAAAUCCUGGGAUGAACUGAGGGUAGGGGUGAAAGGCUAAUCAAACUUGGAGAUAUCUCGUACUCCCCGAAAUGCAUUUAGGUGCAGCCUGUGGUUAAGUUUAUAAGAGGUAGAGCGACUGAUUGGAUGCGAGGGUUUCAUCGCCUAUCAAGUCCUGACAAACUCCGAAUGCUUUAUAAAUGUUACCAUGGAGUGAGGGCAUGGGUGCUAAGGUCCAUGUCCGAGAGGGAAAUAACCCGGACCAUCGGCUAAGGUCUCCAAAUAUAUGCUAAGUUGAACUAACGAAGUCAGGGCGCAGCGACAGCUAGGAUGUUGGCUUGGAAGCAGCCAUUCAUUUAAAGAGUGCGUAACAGCUCACUAGUCGAGCUCUCUGGCGUGGAUAAUACUCGGGCAUUAAGCAUAUUACCGAAGCCGUGGAUUGUAGGGACAUUGCAUGCAAUGUUUCUGUAGUGGUAGGGGAGCAUUCCUGAAUUUGCGUUGAAGGAAGGAGGUAACUUCUUCUGGAGCAUCAGGAAGAGCAAAUGUAGGUAUAAGUAACGAUAAGGAGGGUGGGAAACCCUCCCGCCGAAAGACUAAGGUUUCCUGAUCAACGCUAAUCGGAUCAGGGUUAGUCGGGUCCUAAGGUGCAGCCUAAAGGCGUAGCCGAUGGACGAACAGGUUAAUAUUCCUGUACUAGUUAACAAAUAGCGAAGUGGUGACGAAGUAGUGACAGUCCUGCCGCCUGACGGAAUAGGUGGUUGAAGGGUGUAGAUGUUGAUUGCGGUAGGCAAAUCCGCCGCGAGAGUCGAACCUGAUAGUACCGUGCGUGCUUGCACAAUCGGAUAUGGAUGUAAACAGACUUCCAAGAAAACCCACUAAGUGUUUGAGAUGUUAACUACCCGUACUGUAAACGGACACACGUAGUUGUGUAGAGCAUACUAAGGCGCUCGAGAGUUUCACAGCUAAGGAACUAGGCAAAAUUGUCCCGUAACUUCGGGAUAAGGGACGCCUCCCCGCGUUGAGCGGGAGGCCGCAGAGAAUCGGCCCAGGCGACUGUUUAGCAAAAACACAUGGCUUUGCCAAAUCGCAAGAUGAAGUAUAAGGCCUGACACCUGCCCGGUGCCGGAAGGUUAAGAGGAGAUGUCAUCGCAAGAGAAGCAUUGAAUUGAAGCCCCGGUAAACGGCGGCCGUAACUAUAACGGUCCUAAGGUAGCGAAAUUCCUUGUCGGGUAAGUUCCGACCUGCACGAAUGGUGUAACGAUCUGGGCACUGUCUCAGCUGUGAGCUCGGUGAAAUUGUAGUAUCGGUGAAGAUGCCGAUUACCCGCAACGGGACGGAAAGACCCCGUGAACCUUUACUGCAGCUUUACAUUGUAUUUGGGUAAUUAAUGUGUAGGAUAGGCCGGAGACUAAGAAGCAGUGACGCCAGUCAUUGUGGAGUCAUCCUUGAAAUACGGCCCUUUGGUUAUUUGGAUACUAACUCUUUUUUUGAAGAGGACACUGUAUGGUGGGUAGUUUGACUGGGGUGGUCGCCUCCAAAAGUGUAACGGAGGCUUCCAAAGGUGCGCUCA